ensembl:snRNA U6 U6 spliceosomal RNA
GUGCUUGUUUUGGCAACACAUGUACCUAAAAUUAGAAUAACAGAGAGAUUAGCAAGGCCCUUGCACAAGGAUGACACAAAUUCAUGGAGCGUUUCAUACUUUU